rnacentral:misc_RNA from 1 species
GCAGUUUACACCUGAAGCACCUGAGACGAGCGGCGGCCAUGCAGCGCCCUCUGUCAAGUUCCCGGAUGCACGGCAAUGGCCUCAAUUAAAAUGGCGACGAGCCUGUUGCACUAAUUUCUUGGAUAUUUACACCUGGCUUCGUCUGUCCUACAGGCAAUAGGCCAUAAACAUGUUUGGAAAAAACAAGAAAAAGAAAGGGCUGGAGAUUUCAGCCCCUUCCAACUUUCAACACCGGGUCCACACUGGCUUUGACAGAGAACAUGGUGUCUUUGUUGGCUUGCCUGCUCAGUGGGCUGGCAUCAUUGGUGUGGAAAAGGAGAGGCCACGCCCCAUUGUGGAUCCAUCCUCUAUCACCCAAAUGGAGGUUAUCAAGACAAUUGUAAGAGGAAAUUCUGGUUCAAGCACAAAUGGGUUCCCACAAGACUAUAAAACUAUUAGCAUUGCACGCUCUAACUCACUGCGACGAGAAAGUCCACCUCCAUACCGGCGAAAAUAUCAAGGCAAUGAUUACCCUUCUGUGCCUGAGGAUGAAAUGAUCUCCCCUCACUAUCAGGACUACCCAGGCCCACAGCAUCAGGGACAGCAACCCUACUAUCCCCAUGAUCCAAGAGACUUUCCUGGUGAUCGCCUACCAUAUAAUUAUGGUCGUGACCAACGAGAGCAAGGCAGAUAUCCACAUGAUCAGGAUGGAAGAGCUAUGUUGGAUCAAGAUUCACGCCGAGGAGAUUAUGAUUUUCAAGAUGGCAGAAAUCCACGAACGGAUUCACGGAACUAUCGUCAGGAUCCUCGUGACUAUGGCCAUGGCGAUGGACAUCGCGAAAGACCUCAGCAGCAGCAGCAGUACGCAGACUAUGACAAGCGAUUUAAUAACUCAUAUGAUCGUGACACAAGCAGAGACACUUCAUUUGACAAAGAUCCAUAUUACCGUGGUGACAAGCCAAGAGACAACCUGUCUCCCAACAACCAGUACAUGGAUGGCAGAAAAUCUUCGCAAUGGAUGACAAAUUCCGACAGGGCCUUCCUAAUGGAGGACCACAGGGUAGCCCACAUAAGCAGGGCAUGCCACCCUCACAGUACCAGGACAAGCAGAGCUACAGCACCAACAGCAUUCCUCGUUCACAAGCUGCAGAACAGUACCAGAGGAGUGGAGGCCCAAGCCCUCCAAAAUCACCAAGCCAGCAUAGCUCUUCGCCACAACCCGUCAGUAGUGCCCCUCACACAGGCCAGAGUCCACCCAAAUCCCCAUCAGCCCACACCCAUGGCCCUAUGCCAGAGCAGCAGAGGCUGUCCCAUGAACAGUUUCGUGCAGCUCUUCAGAUGGUGGUUAAUCCAGGUGACCCACGCACAUUUUUGGACAAUUUCAUGAAAAUAGGCGAGGGGUCAACUGGUAUUGUGUGCAUAGCAACCACCAAACCAAAUGGAGCGCAGGUUGCUGUUAAGAAAAUGGAUCUUCGUAAACAGCAGCGCAGGGAAUUGCUUUUUAACGAGGUGGUUGUCAUGCGGGAUUAUCACCAUCCCAACAUUGUGGACAUGUACAACAGCUACCUUGUCAACGAUGAGCUGUGGGUGGUGAUGGAGUUCAUGGAGGGAGGAGCACUGACAGACAUUGUAACUAAUACCAG